rnacentral:rRNA from 1 species
CCUACGGGUGGCAGCAGUGAGGAAUAUUGGUCAAUGGGCGCGAGCCUGAACCAGCCAAGUAGCGUGAAGGAUGACUGUCCUACGGGUUGUAAACUUCUUUUAUAAAGGAAUAAAGUGAGGCACGUGUGCCUUUUUGUAUUUACUUUAUGAAUAAGGAUCGGCUAACUCCGUGCCAGCAGCCGCGGUAAUACGGAGGAUCCGAGCGUUAUCCGGAUUUAUUGGGUUUAAAGGGAGCGUAGAUGGGUUGUUAAGUCAGUUGUGAAAGUGUGCGGCUCAACCGUAAAAUUGCAAUGGAUACUGGCAGCCUUGAGUGCAGAUGAGGUAGGCGGAAUUCGUGGUGUAGCGGUGAAAUGCUUAGAUAUCGCGAAGAACUCCGAUUGCGAAGGUAGCUUACUAAACUGCAACUGACAUUGAUGCUCGAAAGUGUGGGUAUCAAACAGGAUUAGAUACCCUUGUAGUC